GAUGAACGCUGGCGGCGUGCCUAAUACAUGCAAGUCGAGCGAAUGGAUUAAGAGCUUGCUCUUAUGAAGUUAGCGGCGGACGGGUGAGUAACACGUGGGUAACCUGCCCAUAAGACUGGGAUAACUCCGGGAAACCGGGGCUAAUACCGGAUAACAUUUUGAACCGCAUGGUUCGAAAUUGAAAGGCGGCUUCGGCUGUCACUUAUGGAUGGACCCGCGUCGCGUUAGCUAGUUGGUGAGGUAACGGCUCACCAAGGCAACGAUGCGUAGCCGACCUGAGAGGGUGAUCGGCCACACUGGGACUGAGACACGGCCCAGACUCCUACGGGAGGCAGCAGUAGGGAAUCUUCCGCAAUGGACGAAAGUCUGACGGAGCAACGCCGCGUGAGUGAUGAAGGCUUUCGGGUCGUAAAACUCUGUUGUUAGGGAAGAUCAAGUGCUAGUUGAAUAAGCUGGCACCUUGACGGUACCUAACCAGAAAGCCACGGCUAACUACGUGCCAGCCGCCGCCGUAA
rnacentral:rRNA from 1 species